GACGGAGGAUGCAAGUGUUAUCCGGAAUCACUGGGCGUAAAGCGUCUGUAGGUGGUUUAAUAAGUCAACUGUUAAAUCUUGAGGCUCAACCUCAAAAUCGCAGUCGAAACUAUUAGGCUAGAGUAUAGUAGGGGUAAAGGGAAUUUCCAGUGGAGCGGUGAAAUGCGUAGAUAUCGGAAGGAACACCGGUGGCGAAAGCGGCGCGCUGGAUCCCUACUGACGCUGAGGCACGAAAGCCAGGGGAGCAAACGGG
rnacentral:rRNA from 1 species